AUGAGUUGUUUCGGGUAUCGCAGAGAGCUGAGUAAGUAUGAGGAUAUCGAUGAGGACGAGCUUCUGGCUUCCCUCACGCCCGAGGAGCUGGCCGAGUUGGAAAAAGAGCUGGUGGACAUCGAUCCUGACGACAAUGUGCCAAUCGGACUCAGACAGAGAGACCAAACAGAUAAAACACCGACGGGAACCUUCAGCAGAGAGUCCCUCAUGAAGUACUGGGAAAAUGAAACUCGUAGACUGCUGGAGGAUGAGAUGGGCGGAAGAAGCUCCGGACUGGAAGAAGAAGCAGAUGAGGAGAGCAGUACAGAAGGAAACAGUGAAGGGGAGGAUGAAAAGGACGAUGAAAACGAAAAACAGCAGAAAAGGUAUGAUACACGGAGCGAGGAACAGGAGAAGGAGGACGAGGACAAAGAAGAGGAAGAGGAGAGCGAGGAAGAGUCAGAGCCUGUGACAGAAGAGGAUGAAGAGGAAGAGGAGGAAGAAGAGGAAGAAGAGGAGGAGGAGGAGGAGGAGGAGGAGGAAGAGCAAGUCACGAAAGCAGAACCUGAACCGUUGAAGUUUUCAGGGCAGCGGGCUUCACAGGCCAGCAGUCCGAUGCUGCUCAAGCCCCAGAGGGUGGAGCCUAUGAGGCUGACUCCUCCCCCUCCACCUGCUGACUCAUGCGGAAACCCAACCGUGGUCGAUGAUGUUCUGCAGCGCGCUCUGAGCAAUGACCCCGAACUCACAGAGGUUAAUCUGAACAACAUCGACGACAUCUCACAGGAAACUCUCAUCCAGUUUGCUGAGGCUCUGAGGUCCAACACACACGUUAAGGUCUUCACCCUCGCAAACACGAAGGCCGACGACCACGUGGCCGUAGCCAUCGCCAAGAUGCUGAGGCAGAACUCCUCCAUCGUCAGCCUCAAUAUAGAGUCCAACUAUGUGAGUGGGAAAGGCGUGAUGGCAAUGGUCCAGGCGCUUCCAGGAAACAGCACGCUGACCGAACUUCGGUUCCACAACCAGCGACACAUGUGUGGAGGACAGGUCGAAAUGGAGAUGGUGAAGAUUUUGAGGGAGAACUACACUUUAAUAAAGCUGGGCUACCAGUUCAACCUCCCCGGUCCCAGGAUGAGCAUGACGGGGAUCCUCACCAGGAACCAGGACCGCCAGCGGCAGAAGCGGCUGCAGGAGCAGCGGCAGCAGCAGCAGCAGGGCCAACAAGACGGAGUCGUCAACCCUCGAACCACAGCGCUGAGAGGAACCCCUUCUUCAUCACCAUAUAACUCACCCAGAGCCUCACCUUGGUCAUCGCCCAAGCUGCCUAAAAAACAGACUCCCCCUGCGCCCCCGCCGCCCCCUCCCCCUCCUCCCCCUCCCCCUCCGCCGCCGCCUCCCCAGCAGCAGGAGAAGAAGCGGCCCACCAGGAUGAUAGCGGAGGUCAUCAAGGCGCACGAGGCGGGGAGCAAAAAGACAACAAAGACAAAGGGCAAGAAGGGGAAGAAGGGGAAGGACAAGAAUGCAGGGAAAGAUGAGACGAGCAGCAUCCUGAAGGAGCUGAAGAAUGCCCUCAGGCCCGUGGGGGUGGACAAGAGAGGGGAGGAGGGCAGCAGGCCGUCCACGCCCAUGAGGUCGGCUCACGAUCAGCUGAUGGAGUCGAUCCGCAACAGCAGCAUCCGCAGCCUGAGACGGGUGGAAAUCCCCCAUCAUCUACGAUAAUACCUGCAGGAAUUAAAAAAAAUAAAUAAAAAGGAUCCAUACCAUUGGUUGAAUCUGCAUCGUGAUGAGGAUGGAGCAACCGACAGCGAUGAAGGACAUAAAACACGAAAGAUGGAAACGGGAGUGAUCCGAGAAGACAAACAGGAAUCCUUACUCAUCAGAUACAGCAAACAUGGAAACUUGCACUGGAAAUGAUAGCUUUACAUUUUAACUGUGUCCUUUUUCUUAUUAUUCCCAGUAUUUAACAGUGUUGCUGUUCAAAAUUUCCAAUAAGCUGGCUGAUUUGUUUACCGAUUCUUCUUUCUUUUUUUUUUUUUCUUUUUUUUAAAAAAAAGCUCUGUAAAAUUGUAAAUACGAUGCAUUGUUGGUUGAACUAUAUGUGCUGAUUUCUAAAUAUAUCCUUUUAUUUGCUGUUGGUAAAAACCACUCAUCGCUGUCUGCAGGCUGUUUUUCUUCUUGUCCUCCGGUUACCGGAUAAAAGAACGGGGGUCACGCUGCUGUGUGGACGCAUAGACACUGUUUUGUUUAUCGAGUUCCCCGACUCCUAAAUCCCCGGCGCAGCUGUUCGGAGACGACGCGCGCGGUCCGGGGGCCUUGUGGUGGCAACAGCGGGGAAAAGGACACGUUUCAUUGUGGCCGUUAUCAAUAGAGAUGUGCCGGGACGGCUGUGGCUCCGUCUCUCGGGGCGGAAGCGAGAUACUAAACCACAAACUGCUUCCAGUGGAUGGACUGACGCCCUGCAUGGCAGCUGCCUCCAUUUAUGUGUGUGUGUGUAAAGCACUUUGAGGCAUUUAUCACUG